ACUAUUUGAUAACUAGGAGUACUUAGUUGAUACAUAUAUCUAUAUUAUAAUUAAUAUACUUGAAUAAUAAUUGGGUCAAAUUCUCUUUUUUAAUAACCCUUACCAUUUGACUAUAUAAUUAAAACAAAUCAGUUAGGUUAUUUUAGAAGAAGAACAAAAAAAUAUAAAGGUUAGAAACUACCUGGAGACGAGAGGGACCAACGGCUGCGGAGAACAUUAAUCUCCAGAUCGUGAACAUUACAAAACUUUGCAAAAAGGGAAGGAACUAUCUUGAAGAUUCGUGACACGAAUUUUGCACUUGAGAUUCGAUUCCAAGUAGGAGCACAUCUCGAGGAGCAGUUUGAGUCCGAGUUUGGAGUGUCUUGGAGUUGUGGUGAGCUGCUUGGCUGUUCCGUGGCCCACACCUCCCUCUAUCUUUUACUUAUUCUGUUAUUCAGUAUUCAGACAGGAUAUCCCUUAUGUUAGAUUUGCCUUUUUG